AAGCUCCAUGGACUGCAGAUACUUUUCAUGAUUUUUUUCUGUGACAUCUUAGGGAUGCUAUCCUCUCAGGCAAGUUAUAACUCUCUGGAAUUGAUGAGAUUAGGUAUU
rfam:Tursiops truncatus cont1.136771, whole genome shotgun sequence.